CCUACGGGAGGCAGCAGUGGGGAAUAUUGCACAAUGGGGGAAACCCUGAUGCAGCGACGCCGCGUGAGUGAAGAAGUAUUUCGGUAUGUAAAGCUCUAUCAGCAGGGAAGAGAAUGACGGUACCUGAGUAAGAAGCCCCGGCUAACUACGUGCCAGCAGCCGCGGUAAUACGUAGGGGGCCAGCGUUAUCCGGAUUUACUGGGUGUAAAGGGAGCGUAGACGGCGGAGAAAGUCUGAAGUGAAAGCCCGCGGCUCAACCGCUGAACUGCUUUGGAAACUUGUUUGCUGGAGUACCGGAGAGGUAAGCGGAAUUCCUAGUGUAGCGGUGAAAUGCGUAGAUAUUAGGAGGAACACCAGUGGCGAAGGCGGCUUACUGGACGGUAACUGACGUUGAGGCUCGAAAGCGUGGGGAGCAAACAGGAUUAGAUACCCCUGUAGUC
rnacentral:rRNA from 1 species